CCAGUCCUCUGAAUUCUGCUUGAAGCCUUGGCGUUCAAGGCAGAGAUCGCCAGGCAAGCAUCAGGCCAGACACUGGGAGUUUAUCCUGAGAGCCUGGCCUCACGCUGACAGGGGAGGAAAGACAACCUGCCUGGCUGGUUGGGGGCUGAGUCUUGCAGGAGGCUAUAGGAAUUCAUGAAUCAAUGGACAUAUGACUGAAUUUGUUCAUCUCUACCACGGAAGCUACAGACGUGGGGACUCUUCCAUCCCUAGGGACCUGGGACCUGUCCUGAGGAAGGUCAGAUCCCAUGGAGGGAAGGGAUCCAUGUGCAUCAGAAGGUGUAUAUUCCAAGGCCAUGCACACAUUCUCCCCUUUCUACAAACAAGCAGGCCAGGCUUAAAGGGGUGAGGUAAAGUGACUACAGUCCCAACACUGGUAUGGGGAUGAACUUCAGGCUCAAAGCUAAGAAGAGAAAACAAGAGCUUCAAAGCAAUGGAGUUGUGGCACGUGCCUUGCAUCAUCUCCCUUCCAUUCUACCACUGUGGUUUUUCCCUGUUCCGGGCCCCAUGGGCAACAGGUGCACAAGACAGUCACAGUCCUCAAGGCUCAGUGUAACCAGGGAUUCUGCACAAACCAGCUGCCGAUGGUCACAUAUUCUCUGAACUCCGAGAUGAACCUCAGGCCCUUGAAAACAAUAAAAGGCAACAACAGCAUUCUUUGUGUUUCUUGCCUAAGUGGACGAGGAGCUGCCAGCAAUUACGCUGGGGCCUUUGCCGCAAAGCCUGCUUGCUUCCAGAGCUACAGCUGCGCUCCAGAGAGAUCGUUAGUCGGUGCGCACAUGUUAUUGAGGGCAGUGGUGUCAUUGCCAGUUGAAGAUGCCCUCAGUCAAGUGUAAGAGCCGGAAAUGGAGGUCAAAAUAAUUAACCUCGUGUGAUUUUGGCAGAGCUCCUUGCAAAAUCACCGUGUGCAUCUCAUAUUUCAGCAAAAUAACACAUCCAUUGGUUCCCAAGUCUCUCUUUCCCUCCCUUCGUCCCUCACUCUACUGUCAGUCUUUCCCCCUUCCUCUCUCCCACGCCGUGUCUUUAGCUUGCUUUUCUUUAGCCCCUUCCCACACCAAGAGCAGGUCAUCAUAACUCACUGCAGCCACGGCUGGCAGUGGCUCAGUACCAUCUCCCAUCACAAUCACACCAACUCUCCGAAGAAAAGCAGAAUGCAUCCCUCUACAAAGGCUUCUUCUGACCCAGUUUCAGCGUACCCACACUCAGCUGCACCACGCUCACUGUGGGAGUCACGGCCAAAGCAUCCAUGGACUGCUCAAGGAAGACUCCCAUCUGGCAUGGGGAGGGGCCAGCUUGGGUUUGGAAACUGACUCCGGGUCCAAAUGCUGUUUCUUAUUUGCUGUUGGAGAUGGGUGCCUGAAGGGAUCACGUACAGCAGAAAACUAAGGGUAUUCGCCAACUUGUGAGGGACACGCUGCCUAACAUGCAAGGUUCCCCGUAAGAGUGUGGGGGUUAUAAGCCUUAAUUCUGUUCCCUCAUCCAGCCAGCCAUCCUUUUCAUUCAACGUUAUGUACUGAUGGUUGACUGCAUGGCAUGGUGUUAUGCAUGCUUUGUAACUGGUGUGAGACAUUUUAUUAAUUAAAGAUGUCAUUAUAGCCAUA